UUUUUAUAUUUAUUAUAUAGUUACUUUAAGUAACAAAAGUAAUGUUGGAGUAAAAACUGACUUAUUUUUCUGGUGGUAAGAUGGAGUCAGCUGACCCCCAAAAUGUGUCCCAUUUAGUUCCUAGGGGUAAAAUAAAAUAAAUUGUUCGUACAACAUUCAGAUUUCUACCAUAGGUAGAAUAAGUAGCUUAACUAAUAUUGACAUAUUAACUGACAUGAUUAAAGGGUGGUAAGUUAGUGUCAGCUGACCCCCAAAAUUUACAUCUCUUUGUUCCUAAGGAUAACAACAACAACAACAAAAACUGUUCCUACAACUUUCAGAUUUCUACCAUAGGUAGAAUAAAUAGUUAAACUGAUGCUGACAUUUAAACUCACUUGAUUUAAGGGUGGUAAGUUAGGGUCUGCUGACCCCCAAAUUUCCCCCUCUGGUUCGUAGGGGUAAUGAAAUAAAUGAUGUUCUUACAAUUUUCUGUUAACAAAUGCCUACCUAAGAACUUACUCUAAAAUCAGAUAUUUGUCAGGGCUGACCGGCCUUAAAUGGUACUCGGUUGUUUGAUGUUCUCCUAUCUACCAAACUCGUGUCUUGUGUUUCCGCUGAUCCGAGACGGCAGGUUACAAUGAGAGAAAAAAAUAAUCUGAAGCCAGGCUUCAUUCACAGAUUCAUUGUCUCAUUGCUAGUAUAAUAAUUCAUUGGGAGGUAUUGUGGGGAGUGUGCUGAACACGGCUCCUCAGUCUCGCCCUCUCCAGCCAUGUACAACGAACCAACUCUCGGAUUUCCCGUAUAGAACAUGUGUAUGAUUUCUUUGGAAAUCUAAAAACACGGUUUAUGACGAUGGAUGAGGGCGAUGUAAUAUCAGGAGGUGAUGAUUUGUCUGGUGAUCUCAGCACAGACAAGAUUGCAUCAAAUAGUCAAGACCAUCCAGCAAUCCAGUCACUGUCGUCAGGUCAGGAAAGCAAUGAAUUAUCAGACAAUCAAAACACUAAAUCUGCGCCUGAUGAAAUGCUGUGUUCCUUACACAUCAAGAGCAGUGAUAAGUAUCAAGAUUUUGGUAGUCAUUUGCUUCAAAGAUGACAAGUUGGCAAAAUGCAAGGAAAUAUUAAUGCUACGAAAACAAAAAAAACUUGAAAUAUGCUGACAUAUCCCUGCCAACUGUAGUAGACAGUAUCCAUGGUUAUCACCACGAGUGCUAUAGGAAAUUUACAGCAUUACCAAAGGCUCACAGAUCUGCAACCAAACCUUCGUGUCACAUGAGCCAAGAAAAUCCUUCAUGUCACAUGAGCCAAGAAGAACAAUCACUAAGCUUGAACGAAUCGGCAGCAACAUCGAAAGAGGGCACAUGUGAUUUCCAGCCGAUGUGCUUGUUUUGUGGAUCGGCUAGAAAAAAAAUUAAAAACGUGGAGCAAAAAUUAGUUUCAGCUGAGACAGCCCAGUUUGCUGCAAACAUUCAAGAAUAUGCUGAAAUGAAAGGGGAUGAAAAAUUGUUAACACAGAUAAGAGACCAGGAUUUUGUUGCAAAAGGAUUGAGGUACCACGCCAACUGUCGCUCACUGUACCAGAGUCAAGCAAGGGCAAUGUCCAAAAAUGGAAAUCAACCAAGGACAGGGUACAUAAGCAGAGAGAAAGAAGUUCAUAGAGAGGCUUUUGACUCAUUGAUAUCUUACAUUGAACAGAAUGUAAUUGAG